rnacentral:rRNA from 1 species
UACAGAGGGUGCGAGCGUUGUUCGGAAUUAUUGGGCGUAAAGGGCGCGUAGGCGGUGCCACAAGUCACUUGUGAAAUCCCCGGGCUUAACUCGGGGCCUGCAGGCGAAACUGUGGUGCUGGAGUAUGGGAGAGGUGCGUGGAAUUCCCGGUGUAGCGGUGAAAUGCGCAGAUAUCGGGAGGAACACCGGUGGCGAAGGCGGUUCUCUGGGCCUUACCUGACGCUGAGGAGCGAAAGCGUGGGGAGCGAACAGG